CCAGAGAUUUCCGAAUGGGGAAACCCAGCAUGAGUUAUGUCAUGUUAUCGAUAUGUGAAUACAUAGCAUAUCAGAAGGCACACCCGGAGAACUGAAACAUCUUAGUACCCGGAGGAAGAGAAAGAAAAUUCGAUUCCCUUAGUAGCGGCGAGCGAAACGGGAAGAGCCCAAACUAACAAGCUUGCUUGUUGGGGUUGUAGGACACUCUAUACGGAGUUACAAAGGACGACAUUAGACGAAUCAACUGGAAAGAUGAAUCAAAGAAGGUAAUAAUCCUGUAGUCGAAAAUGUUGUCUCUCUUGAGUGGAUCCUGAGUACGACGGAGCACGUGAAAUUCCGUCGGAAUCUGGGAGGACCAUCUCCUAAGGCUAAAUACUCUCUAGUGACCGAUAGUGAACCAGUACCGUGAGGGAAAGGUGAAAAGAACCCCGGAAGGGGAGUGAAAUAGAACCUGAAACCGUGUGCUUACAAGUAGUCAGAGCCCGUUAAUGGGUGAUGGCGUGCCUUUUGUAGAAUGAACCGGCGAGUUACGAUUUGAUGC
rnacentral:rRNA from 1 species